CGACAGUCAUGCCGCAGUCAAAGUCACUUAGAUCACACAUCUUGUCCAUUACAAUAUUUGCUCAAACAAAAAAUUAAACAUCUUCACUAUGUCUGCAUACUUUAUAUAUUGAAUUGCAGCCACAUGAUUUGCUGUUUGGUGGAGUAGGCUAUUUGCGUUAAUGAGCGGGUGUACAUAAUACAGUUGCCGGUAUAUAAUACAAAGGAUAUGGGUUUGGUGUUGAUUUAGGGAUGUGUAUUGUGGCAAUAUAGAGACAAUGACGGGUGACCCCCCCUAUUCCCUAUUUUCUUGUUUUAGUUUACAUUGUUUAGAUGUAUUCUUUUAUUUUACUGUUAGUAUUCAUGUAUAUUGGUCAUCUGGGUCAGGUGUCUAUCUGAUUAUGCAGUACUCGCAAUGCACAGCAGAGAGCUGCUUGGGAAGGAAAUGGGAUGACUCGGUGCACAGAGUUCAGUGUUUGCCAAAGCAGUGGAAGUUAAACGUGCUACUACGAAGUGAUCAUUCUUUUGUGCAUUGUAUUGGAUAUUGCAGGGCUGUUCUGCUUCCACUGAUCCUUGGCCCCUU